GACAGAGGCCUCAAGCGUUAGGCGGAAUCACUGGGCUUAAAGCGUGUGUAGGCGGACUUUAAGUGCCUUGUGAAAUCCCACGGCUUAACCGUGGAAUGGCUGGCAUGACUGGAGUCUUGAGCUGUCUGAGGGCGACUGGAACAACGUGGAGCGGUGAAAUGCGUAGAUAUCGUUGGAACGCCAUGGUCGAAACAGGUCGCUGGGACAUGCUGACGCUGAGACACGAAGC
rnacentral:rRNA from 1 species